ACCCUUUGAACUCUCUCUCAUUGUUUGCUCCCAUCCCAUGCAUUAAUUUUGCCCUUCUCUGCAGUUCUUCUUCUUCUUCUUCUUCUUCAAAUUUGUGUUUUUUUUUCUUGAAGAAAAAAUUCUCUUGAUUGUUUUCAAGUAUCAAUCGGAGAAUUCGGCUUUGGAUUAAGUUGCAGAAAAUGGUUGGAUGUAAAAUCCGGUUGAGGAAGAGAAAACAGGCGGAGUGGGUGAGUGGUUUGCUUCGGAGCAAAUUCUUCGGUUCGUGCGUCGAUCAUGGGGAGUUGAGGAAGAAUGAGAGGAAUCUGUUCUGUAUAGACUGCAAUCUCUGCUUCUGUAAGCAUUGCGUAACUUCUCCGGCUCAUGACUGCCUCCAUCGCCUCCUUCAAAUCUGCAAAUACGUCUACCACGACGUCGUUCGACUCCACGAUAUUCAGAAGCACCUCGACUGCUCUCUCAUUCAAGCAUACAAGAUCAAUGGUGAGAAGGCUGUCCAUUUGAAUCCCAGGCCUCAACUAAAAGAUACAAAAAGUUCAAAAGCAAAGGGGGGAGGCACUUGCUGUGAAGCUUGUGGGAGGCACAUACAAGACUUGCCCAAUCGCUUUUGUUCCAUUGCCUGCAAAGUUUCAAUAGACACAGAGAUCACAACAAACCAAAGCAACAGGAUAAUCUCCACGCCGAUGUCUAAAGUUGGCCAUCUACCAAAUUUAGAGCCAGAGGACAAUUCCUAUGAAAUCAAAUACACUUCCAGCUCACUCUCCUUAACCGAGUCAUCGUCAGAAGUAAUCCAGGCAUGGUCGAGUCCAGUUUUGAGGCCAAAGAAGAUGUUGAACAAGAGAAAAAGCGUGCCAAGAAGGGCUCCCAUGUGCUAGAAAACAGAACCCUCAAGUACACCAUUUCAUUUAUUUGUUCCCAUUACAUUUGUGGCAUGAAAGAGUUUGAUAUAUAGUUUUAUAAUGAGAAUAAGGGCCAUAGGUUGUGAGUAAAAUAUGCUGCUAAUGAGUCCCCAUCCUAGUGUUCUGCUUGGUUUGUACAGCAUAAAGAUGGUGGUCUUGCUAGUGGCAUUCAUCGUAUUUGGUUAAGGUGUCAGAAAAUGAAGAUCUUUGUCGGGUCGGUGAUAGUGAUGGUGAUGGUGAUGGCGUCUCAAAUUGUCCAAUUCUGGUGGUGUAGUUGGGCCCCAUUAUUAUGUAUGUAUUGUAUGUAAACCCAUCCCAUGUUUGAUGGGGUAUAGUAGUGUGUGUGUGUGUGUGUGUGUUUGAAUGGCA